rnacentral:lncRNA from 1 species
GCGUGCCAAGAAAUAGUUCACGUGGAUAUAUAAAGAUUUGUUUUCGCAUUUCCAAUAAUUAACUUUACUUAUAAUUAACAAACGUGUAAUGAUGUAUACCAAACAAGUUAAUAGCAAGAAUUAAAGUACCCUCAACUCUGACUAACCUUUCCGCUUGUUAUUUAUUUUUUGUUACAAACCAAUUUUAGCAUUUUAUCGACUU